rnacentral:tRNA from 1 species
GCCCCCGUAGCGUAAUCGGUCAACGCGUCGGCCUUUUAAGCCGGAAGAUCCCGGUUCGAGUCCGGGCGGGGGCA